rnacentral:misc_RNA from 1 species
AAGUCGUAACAAGGUUUCCGUAGGUGAACCUGCGGAAGGAUCAUUAACACGUGAUACGUGUGUGAUUACGGUGCUUCGCGCAUAGGGUCUAACUUACAGUCUUAGCGUGCUUGACACGCAAGUUCGUUCCAGUAGUAGUAGAUAAAUUUCGGCUGCCUAUUAAGCCUGCACCUUGGCUUGCAGUCGAAGUGCUGAUUACUUACCCCUUAUUUUUAUUUAUUCUGAUUUGUACGUUUAUAUUGAAUUCCUAAUACUUCAUUGUGUUGGUUGAGUUUGGUAUAGAUGUCGUAUAUUACUAAUACGAAACAACUCUUAGCAACGGAUAUCUUGGUUCUC